UACAGAGGGUGCGAGCGUUGUCCGGAAUUACUGGGCGUAAAGGGCGCGUAGGCGGCAAUUCAAGUCAGCUGUGAAAUCUCCGGGCUUAACUCGGAACGGUCAGCUGAUACUGCUUUGCUAGAGUGCAGAAGGGGCAAUCGGAAUUCUUGGUGUAGUGGUGAAAUGCGUAGAGAUCGGGAGAAACACCCGUGGCGAAGGCGGCCAGCUGGGAUACACCUGACGCUGAGGCACGAAGGCGUGGGGAGCGAACGGG
rnacentral:rRNA from 1 species